GAGUUCAAGAGUACUUGAAACCGUUUAGGGSUAAACCUGAGAAACCCGAAAGGUCGAAGGGAGAAAUUCAUUCGCGUUUCGCCGUUGGCGUGAGACGGACGUGUGACGGAAGACGUUUCGUACGUUUUCCGCGCCUUCUGUUUUUCGAACCGAUAGCGAACGCGUGCACUUUUCUCCUGGUAGGACGUCGCGAUCCGUUGGGUGUCGGUCUACGGCUCGCGGUGGAGCCCGUACGUUACGGCUUGCCGUUACGCGUACGGACCCGCGUGUCCCGGCUGACUCGCUCGACGGUAUACGAAAGGUUUAAGGCCGCUUUUAGGAGCGUUCGACUCGUCGCAAGCGCGUCAGAUGUGUCGGUGAUCGGACCUGGUGCCGGUUCUGACCUCUGGCGACUGUUGGCGGCGAAGUUCUCGGACAGACCUUUAACCGAUCUGCGACGCUAUAGCUUUGGGUACUUUCAGGACCCGUCUUGAA
rnacentral:rRNA from 1 species